CAAAGUUUUAAUAUAGAAUAGUGAAACCUAUUUAUGAAGAAUAGAAUCACACAGUAUAAAAUUAGCAAUUUACCUUUUAAGGAACAAUUAUACAGUGGGGGUGGGGCAGGGGAGACGACAGUUUUCCCCAACUGAAUAUACUGGCAUCUAGGCAACUGUUUCACAUGCUAUUUCAGUGUCUGUCAUGACAAAAGACCAUGUUACAAAAGAUGCAGAAUGCAGUCUUUAGAUCAUGUAGAAGUAGAAAUAUUUGUAUGUGAAGACUUCACUCCCGUCCUCACCGUGCCUCUCCAGCUGACACUAGUAAACUGUCCACAAGGAGAAAAGUAGGAUCAGGUGUUCACCAGUGCACACGUCUAAUAUUCCAGGUGACUGCUCACAGGAACAGUGAAUUCAGGCUCCAGUCACAACUGUAGCCAUCCAUCCAUCCCCCUUUCCUGGGAUAGAGCUCCUGAUAAACACUGUUAUAAACAUAUCGCCUUACACCAAUGUCCCAUCUCAUGAACACGUAUCGGAAACGCAUUAUGCAGUAGCCCACUCUAUCUUCUGACGCAUUAUACAGUAAACGCAUUAUGCAGUAGCCCACUCUGUCUGCUGACGCAGCGCAGCACAGCACCACUGAGUACAUGUGCGGCAAGCGGAGGGAAGGGGAUGCGUGUGGGAAGGGCAAGAAGAAAUGACAAGGUACAAAGCCAGGAAUGAAAUCAAACUCAAAAGGAUGCCGUGUGGACUCACCAUGAAACACAACAUGCACCCAAGUCCUUAACAUUUGGUGGUGAGAUGAUACCACACUAGACUAUUUCAACUGUAUUCAGGAACUAGCUGUGCAAGGAUUUUAAAACAGCCAGCUGCUGAACAACUUCAGAAACAGCUUCUGCAAGAAGAAACUCUUUGAAGCACUUUAGUGGUUAAAUGGUCACCCAGCACUGCUCACUGUCUUCUAUGGUUUGUGUGAAGCUCUACCACUGAGGUUACUGAACCCACAUGCAUUGUAACAGCACUUCCUGUAGGAGCAGGGGUCCAGCCGCUGUGUCAGCUAUCAUGGGCACCUGAGAUUUGCUGCUUGUCCCCUGAUAAAGGUCUGAAACAUGGGAUUUACAGUCAGUC
rnacentral:lncRNA from 1 species